GAUGAACGCUGGCGGCGUGCCUAAUACAUGCAAGUCGAGCGAACAGAUAAGGAGCUUGCUCCUUUGACGUUAGCGGCGGACGGGUGAGUAACACGUGGGUAACCUACCUAUAAGACUGGGAUAACUUCGGGAAACCGGAGCUAAUACCGGAUAACAUUUGGAACCGCAUGGUUCUAAAGUGAAAGAUGGUUUUGCUAUCACUUAUAGAUGGACCCGCGCCGUAUUAGCUAGUUGGUAAGGUAACGGCUUACCAAGGCGACGAUACGUAGCCGACCUGAGAGGGUGAUCGGCCACACUGGAACUGAGACACGGUCCAGACUCCUACGGGAGGCAACAGUAGGGAAUCUUCCGCAAUGGGCGAAAGCCUGACGGAGCAACGCCGCGUGAGUGAUGAAGGGUUUCGGCUCGUAAAACUCUGUUAUUAGGGAAGAACAAAUGUGUAAGUAACUGUGCACGUCUUGACGGUACCUAAUCAGAAAGCCACGGCUAACUACGUG
rnacentral:rRNA from 1 species